UUGAACGCUGGCGGCAUGCCUUACACAUGCAAGUCGAACGGUAACAGGUCUUCGGAUGCUGACGAGUGGCGAACGGGUGAGUAAUACAUCGGAACGUGCCCGAGAGUGGGGGAUAACGGAGCGAAAGCUUUGCUAAUACCGCAUACGAUCUACGGAUGAAAGCAGGGGACCGCAAGGCCUUGCGCUCAUGGAGCGGCCGAUGGCAGAUUAGGUAGUUGGUGGGAUAAAAGCUUACCAAGCCGACGACCUGUAGCUGGUCUGAGAGGACGACCAGCCACACUGGGACUGAGACACGGCCCAGACUCCUACGGGAGGCAGCAGUGGGGAAUUUUGGACAAUGGGCGCAAGCCUGAUCCAGCUAUGCCGCGUGAGUGAAGAAGGCCUUCGGGUUGUAAAGCUCUUUCGGACAGAAAGAAAUCGUACGGGCUAAUACCCCGUAUGGAUGACGGUACUGUAAGAAGAAGCACCGGCUAACUACGU
rnacentral:rRNA from 1 species